rnacentral:sRNA from 1 species
AGCACAAUCAUUGUGGAGAAGACGGUGCAAGAUCUCCUGAACCUGAUGCAUGACUUGAGUGCAUAUUCAGAUCAAUUCCUCAACAUGGUGUGCGUGAAGCUCCAGGAGUACAAGGACACCUGCACUGCAGCUUACAGGGGUAUUGUCCAGUCAGAAGAAAAACUUGUCAUCAGUGCAUCCUGGGCAAAAGAUGAUGAUAUCAGCAGACUCUUGAAAUCUCUACCAAACUGGAUGAAUAUGGCUCAACCCAAACAGCUGAGGCCAAAAAGAGAGGAGGAAGAAGAUUUCAUAAGGGCAGCUUUUGGCAAGGAGUCUGAAGUUCUUAUUGGGAACCUGGGUGAUAAAUUAAUCCCUCCACA